rnacentral:rRNA from 1 species
AUUGAACGCUGGCGGCAGGCCUAACACAUGCAAGUCGAGCGGUAACAUUUCAAAAGCUUGCUUUUGGAGAUGACGAGCGGCGGACGGGUGAGUAAUGCCUGGGAAAUUGCCCUGAUGUGGGGGAUAACCAUUGGAAACGAUGGCUAAUACCGCAUAGUAGCUUCGGCUUAAAGAGGGGGACCUUCGGGCCUCUCGCGUCAGGAUAUGCCCAGGUGGGAUUAGCUAGUUGGUGAGGUAAUGGCUCACCAAGGCGACGAUCCCUAGCUGGUCUGAGAGGAUGAUCAGCCACACUGGAACUGAGACACGGUCCAGACUCCUACGGGAGGCAGCAGUGGGGAAUAUUGCGCAAUGGGCGCAAGCCUGAUGCAGCCAUGCCGCGUAUGUGAAGAAGCCUUCGGGUUGUAAAGCACUUUCAGUCGUGAGGAANGGUGUGUAUUUAAUAGAUGCGCACUUUGACGUUAGCGACAGAAGAAGCACCGGCUAACUCCGUGC